rnacentral:rRNA from 1 species
AUUGAACGCUGGCGGCAUGCCUUACACAUGCAAGUCGAACGGCAGCAUGAUCUAGCUUGCUAGAUUGAUGGCGAGUGGCGAACGGGUGAGUAAUACAUCGGAACGUGCCCUGUAGUGGGGGAUAACUAGUCGAAAGAUUAGCUAAUACCGCAUACGACCUGAGGGUGAAAGUGGGGGACCGCAAGGCCUCAUGCUAUAGGAGCGGCCGAUGUCUGAUUAGCUAGUUGGUGAGGUAAAGGCUCACCAAGGCGACGAUCAGUAGCUGGUCUGAGAGGACGAUCAGCCACACUGGGACUGAGACACGGCCCAGACUCCUACGGGAGGCAGCAGUGGGGAAUUUUGGACAAUGGGUGAAAGCCUGAUCCAGCAAUGCCGCGUGUGUGAAGAAGGCCUUCGGGUUGUAAAGCACUUUUGUCCGGAAAGAAAUGGCCCUGGUUAAUACCUGGGGUCGAUGACGGUACCGGAAGAAUAAGGACCGGCUAACUACGUG